rnacentral:rRNA from 1 species
UACGUAGGGGGCAAGCGUUGUCCGGAUUUACUGGGCGUAAAGAGCGUGUAGGCGGCCAGACAGGUCCGUUGUGAAAACUCGAGGCUCAACCUCGAGACGCCGAUGGAAACCGUCUGGCUAGAGUCCGGAAGAGGAGAGUGGAAUUCCCGGUGUAGCGGUGAAAUGCGCAGAUAUCGGGAAGAACACCCGUGGCUAAGGCGGCUCUCUAGUACGGUACUGACGCUGAGACGCGAAAGCGUGGGGAGCGAACAGG